CCCAGACAGUCAAUAUUCAAUGUUCAUUAUGUUGUUUGUUUGAUUGGAAUGUGUGAAAACUCAAACUUUUAUCAAAGCAUGGUGUUCAUUUGCACCACUCACAGUGGAGGGAGAAGAGACUGUUGAUUGUUGCUGAAAAAAUUCCAAAGAACUGAACACAUGGAGACUGAGUGCCAGCAGUGGACAGAGAGCCAAAUUGAUGAGGACAGUGACUCAGAGGAGAUCUUGUGUGGAAUCUAU